rnacentral:misc_RNA from 1 species
AGAAUAAUAACAACCGGAAGGUAACAAAGGGCAAUGCAUAGUUAAUCUGGGCCUAGUAAUGCUGAAAGUGAUGUGUAAUUUUCCUGUAACCGAAUCCUUCCUUGCAACACUUUAACUGUAGCUCCAUGCUGUACCAGCUUGGUCUGUGUGUAAUUUGCCAAUGAUUACAAGUCGUGGAUCUGACAAGUUGAAAAUGUUUGGCCCUGCGAAACUCCAAAGGUACACUUUCACCAUUGUCACCACAAUCCUCGUUUCUCUCUGCCUGUUCUCGACGGCGUCUUCGCAGUCCCCGGAAUGCAGGUUUGAGCCCUUACCGGGCAGUGACGGCAACUUUGCCGUCGGGGAUUCGGUGAACCUGUGCUGCGGAAUCCCGGGCACUAUAAAUGUCACGUGUUUCAAUGGAGAAAAGAAGCUGGCUUGCCCAGAACCGAAUGUGACUUGCUGCCCACUGGAGCUCGCACCGGAGGACAAUGGUGUUGAUUUCACUUGUACCGUACUUACAUCUUCCUCGGAUGAGCCACGUAACUAUUCCUUCAUGCCGUUGAGAAUCUUACCGAAUGUCACCAUCCGACAAGCAGGACCCGGGGUUAAUGAUGAGGUGGGGUCCUACGCAGUUGUCGAAUGUUAUGGUGUGGGCGUGCCCGGUAUUGCCAACUACAGCUGGACGGCGACACACAGUGAAAGUGGAGAGAUAAUACCUCCUGAAAACUACACCCUUCUGGCAGAUGGCCGGGUGAUGGUGAUGACAGUGCAGGCUAGUUUUGUAGUGUCCUGUACAGUGAAAGUACCUUCUGGACUGUCCAACAAUUCUAGCUUGACCGUUGAGGCUAUAGAGCCAGCAGUGUCGCCAGUGGAAUCCUGCCAGUGGAUAUUCCUGUUUGCCGCCGUGCUGGCAGUCCAAGUCGCACUGAUGGGAGUCGUUCUAGCCCAUCUUCUGUACCUGCGGAAAAGGAUGCGCAAGAGAAAGUCUAUGACUCCUCGUCGUGACAAACCCAAUGCCGAGCAAGCUGCAGACACUGAGUGUGUAUACGCCAAUGGUAAUCAAGACAAUGGCUAUGCAAUGGUGGACGAGGAUGGUGACUCCAGAGCGGGCGAGUACGAGGACGUUUCAGUUGAAGAGGGCAUGAUGAUUGACCAUUCCCGCAACACUUCCAUCGUCUCAGAGUACUUAGAUUUGCAUGACCCGCCGGCAAACAAUUCAGGCCAAGAAUAUGCUUACGCCGAAUUUGCCAACACAACAGGUGGUGGGCGUGAGACAAGCCGCGACACCACCAUCAUCUCAGAGUACCUGGAGUUACAGGACACACCUGGGGGUAGGGAAAAGGAAAACGGGCACCAAGUAGUUGAAUGUCCCAGCAAGAGAAAAAUCACCGCCGAGAGUGAGUACGAGAAGGUAUCAAUCGGUGAGUGCGCCGACUAGAAAACAGGAAUAGAUUUGACAACCACUGGUGGAGAGUUCUCUGACUUUUGGCAUACCCAACCUGAGUUUAAACUUGGGGAUCUCUUCUUGCGUCAUUGCAUGUCUAAAACAAAAACCUGUAUAUGUUCCUUUUGUACUAUUUAUAACCUGGCAUAUCGACAAUUUUUUUUUAAUAUGCUGCAAAAGUUUCACAAGUUUUCGCUGCAUCUUUAGCAGUUUUUGUGAAUACUACAUUUGUAACAUUUGACAUAAUUAUGAAAUAUAUAACCUGUACGUGUAAACUUUGCAAAGAUCAUGUUGAAAGGUAACUUUUAUAAAAUAAAGUUUAGUUUCCAAAACUGUCCUUUUAUCAUGCACUGUGAGGCUAGUCAAACUGCUAUCAUGAGGAUUUUAGGUUUUUGCAACGGCAGGCCCAGUGGUACAUGUAGUGUCACCGUGAUUUAGGUUGUUGAAAGUCUGUCAAGUAUGACAUAUCUUUACUUGUUACCAUGAAAAAGACAACCUCUCUCCGCGUCGGUGCUCUGCCCCAGCAUGAACAAUAUGAGAUCUUGAGCACUUUUUAAGCAUGUAAAAGUGAGACUAGUGUCUUGGUUCCAUGCACAUGCAUCGUUCAUACAAAAUUAGGUGAAAACACCUUGGUGUGGCCUUGGGGUUUUUUUUUGGGGGGGGGAUAUUUGGUCUUUUUUGAAAUUGCCAUCUUCUUAAGUUAGUAUUAAGGUGUAAUUGUUUAGCAUUUGUGGCGCCAUUAUAGAUUGGCAAAAAUCGGCCCAAGAACCAACGUGUUAACCUUAACGAAGGAAUACAGCACGUUUACAGGUAAGAUUCGUUCGCAGUAUAAGCACAAUAAAAAGUAGUGGUAAAUGUUGUUACUGUUUUGAGAUCUCAAGAAAAGGUACAUGAAAUUCAAGAAAGAUUUUUUUUAAUUACCACAACGAUUUUUUUUAAACUGACACUUAAUAUUGAGGUAUGAUUUUCAUACAGAAGUUGGAUGGAACCGUUCGUUAUGCGCUCGUCAAAAUGGCGAAUUUCAGCAAAUCUUAAAUUUAAAAAAUCCCAGUUAUCGAAACGAGUUCAGGAAGAAUUUUGUUCUCGAACAUUUGUAUUAUAUUGGUCAGAGUUGAAGUUGCGCCAUUUAUCAAGAUGUAUUUUUUUUGCGUUGGGGAGAUGUUAAUUACAUAUAACGGGUUUUGCCCUUAAUAUACGUUGGUUAAGGGCAAAACCCGUUAUAUAUAAUUGCGCCAUUUAGUUUGCAGAUCUUUUUAUCUUUAUGUCAUAUAUAUAAAUACGUUAAAGCAAUUAUACUUCUCGAAGAAUCACCAUCUACAUUUUAUAGAGCGUGGAUCAACGUAGAACAUAAUGUUCACAUUAUCUCUUCUGAUAGCAAAAGCGGAUGCCCACUUUCCGUCCUCAAUAGUCCUCAAGUAAUAUUUUGGAAAAGUUAACCUUGAGAUGGGUAGAAAAGGAAUUUUAUCAACGACCUUUAACCUCCGGCAAUAUCGUUCCUAGGUCUCGUUGUUCCUGCGCAUUUUUUUGUUUUCAUUCCCUGUGCUUACGUGAAAACGAGACUGUACAACGUUGCAAAGAUUAAGCUACCCGCACUCAAUGGGUUGCGGUCGAGUUGACCUGACGCAUUUCUUGUCAGCAAAGGUCAGAUUAAGCAUUUUAAUAUGUCGUAUUAAAACGGAACACUGUAUGAAAUCCAUUUCCUUAUAAAUUAAACAAUGUCUGAAAUAUUUUGAUUUUUACCGACAGAGUGCCAUAUAGUAUAAUUCCGUGAUUGUUCAUCUGCGUACGAGACCGCCGAAUUGUAGUGUUCUUCACUAUAUUUUAAGUUUUUAUCAUGAAGAACGCCUUUGACCAAGGCUAGACGACAACGGUGGUGGAAGAGACGAUGACGUCAUUCGAUAAACCUGGAAAACAAAAUGGCGUCCAAAUAUCCAAUAUUUUUCAUAAGAAAUGCCCUUGCGUAGGUGGUUAUACGUUUACACGGAGGUUGCUAGUAUAUCUCAGUUCGAUGUAAAUUUCAUUUAUGGCCAACUUUUUUCUUGACAAACUGGGUUUUCAUAUCUUUGUAUUCCUUCAUGUCAGUUAGGAGAAAGCUUUUCCACUGCUAUGAAUGCGUACCAUCGAGCACCGUUCUGCAUCUUCUUCAAUGGUAGCGUUAGUCCAUUAACGUCGUUAAAGUGAAACUGCAAUGAAAUUUCUUAGACCCAAUUUUUCUUCAGCUUUGUAAUCUUCUUCAACGUGUGAAAACUUUUUUACAGUCUAAUUUGGUUAAACAUAUUGAAAGGUGCACUCUUUUAAACAAAUAAUCCACGCUUCUUUUAACAAAUGAGGGCGCUGUCGCUAUUAAGUCAUCUAGGGAAGACCAUAGAGGAAGGACACAGAAGGAGUUGCAACUCUGGCACUCAAAGUGUUCAGUGAUGGUCACCGCCGAGUCAGGCGAAUAAUAGAAAACAUUCCAAAAAUACCCGAUUACUGCCUACAUCGUAAGUGGACAAGUGUGGCCGGUAAUAUCCUAUAUAGCAAUACUUGUAUUUUUGUGCUUGCAGUUUAAUGCAAAUCAUUGCUGUAACCAGGAAAUAGAGAGAGAAAAAUCCCUGGUAUUAGACCUACUUUUGGCAUCGUA